UACGUAGGGUGCGAGCGUUAAUCGGAAUUACUGGGCGUAAAGCGUGCGCAGGCGGUUCGUUGUGUCGGCGGUGAAAGCCCCGGGCUUAACCUGGGAAUGGCCGUUGAAACUGGCGAACUGGAGUGUGGCAGAGGAGAGUGGAAUUCCCAGUGUAGAGGUGAAAUUCGUAGAUAUUGGGAAGAACACCGGUGGCGAAGGCGGCUCUCUGGACCGAUACUGACGCUGAGGCGCGAAAGCGUGGGGAGCAAACAGG
rnacentral:rRNA from 1 species